AAUAAUAUAUAUAUAUAUUAAGAUAUAAGGGUAUAUAGAAUAAUAUAAAUAGAACUAAAAAAAAAAAGAGUGUUUUUAUUAAAUUAAGAACGCCCUGUGAUCUUCAACCAAUUCUGUGCUUCAAUAUAAUUACCGGGGGUAAGGGCUAUAGCUUGUUUCCAAUAUUCAGCGGCAUGAUCAAACCAAGCCUCAUCAAUUUCGGAAUCUCCCUGUCGAAUGGCCUGUUCUCCGCGGUCGGAAUAGGUGAGUAAAUUCCUUCCCUUAGAACCGUACUUGAGAGUUUCCUGCCUCAUACGGCUCAGCAGUCAAUUGUUCCAUUUUUCUGGAAUUAACCAAAAGAAAAUGGAAUGGGUUAACUACAUGAGUUUCAAACUUGAAUUUUGAUUCAAAAAGUCUUUUUCUUUUUAUUUUUAUAGUUUUCUCUUUUCUCCUACCUUCCGAAGAAUAACAUAUCUACAUUAACACUCUCUAAUUUUCUGAAAGGUAACUAUCUCAAUUUCAUAUAUCAUAUACUUUCGAAUAUGACAUUUCUAUGGUCUAUAGAAUCUUUGAGAAAGACUUCUUUUUAUUUUUUUUUUCAUAAGAAAGAAAAUACUAUCUGUGGGAUCUGAUACUACACCGCUGCUCAAAACCUUAGGGUAGGGGAUCAACUUUAUUACAUAAGUGGAUUCCUAACUCUUAUAUCAUGAUAGAUUUUGUAUCAUGAUAUAAGUUGUAAUAAGUUCUUAUAGUCUCGGCCUAAAACCUUGCCAAUUGAUCUUUACGGCGCUUCCUCUAUCAAUUGGAUCUUUUAUCCAUAGAAAAAAGUAUCUAGGCAUAUCUCUAUUUCUUCAUUUUUUUUACUUAUAUAUUCUAUGAAGUUUUUUUGUUUGCUACAGCUGAUAAAAAUCGUAGUUUUGAACGAUAUAUAUGUACAAAGCCUUUUUUUCUAUAGUGGAGAUAGUCGCACGUAAUGACAGAUCACGGCCAUAUUAUUAAAAGCUUGGGGUAAAAACGGAUUUCGUUCGAGUGCCCGAAAAUAAAAUAAUAUUCUAAAGCUUUUGUAUGUUCUCCGUUACUUGUGUGAAUAAGGCCUAUGUUAUAAAUAAAGUAUAUAACUUCGAUCAUAGGGAUCAAUUUCCAGUCGCAUAGCCUCAUAAUAAUUCUGUAAAGCUUCUGCAUAAUUUCCUUCAGAUUGCGCCGACAUCCGUUACGGUCGUCAUUCAGUUCAAAGAAUCUCUGCUCCAGAACCGUACGUGAUAUUUUCAUCUCAUACGGCUCCUCCUUUAUGUGUAUAAUGAUAAAAAAAAUGAAUACAUUAAAUCAAAAAAAAAUUCCAGUAUUCUCUCUCAUUAUCACCUGUGCAGGGCUAGUGUUUUUACAAGAAAUCUCUAGCCAACCUUCCUGUAAAAGAUCUUUUCUUAACAUCAAGUUUGUUGGUACUGGAUAAAAAGGAUAACUCCAACAAUAUCUUUGUCCUCAACGCCGCUUAAUUUCCCGGAAUUAGUCACCUCAACACCCUUCGAUGGUUAUACGGGUAUCCAAAAAUACGAACGAGAUGGAUGUUUGUUGUCCCAACCAUUCUUGUUAGUUCCGAUCCCGAAAAGAAAGGAAGAAUUUUUUUACAAAGUUUUCGUGUUGUCGAUUCCUAAUCGUAGUGCUUCUUCCCCCAUGCCGCCUAUUGCUACUAGUGGAGUAAGGUUAAUCUAACUCCAUAGUAUAGGUAUAACCUUUCGCUUAAUACUAAAAAUCUAUAAUUGAAGCAUAUGAGGCUGCAUUAAGCGGGGAUACACGACAGAAGGAAUUUCUUUUUUAUUUGUAAACUUCACCUUCAGCAAGCGUCGGUUUUUUUCCAUUUUUUUACGAAUAAAAUAAUGUGUCUUUCUCAUAAGACUGAAAUCGGUAAAAAAAAUAAUCAAAUCGCACCAUCUCUGUAAGUAAUAAGUAAAUGCCUCCUUUUCUCCCGAGGUUGUCGGAAUUAUUCGUAAUAAGAUAUUGGCUACAAUAGAAAAGGUCUUGUCAAUAAAAUUUCCAUUUAUCCGAGAUCUAGGCAUAGGUAGGAAUCCAUUCGAAAAUUGAAUUCUUUAUCGCGUGAGAAAAAAGAAUCCCACAAACAAAGGAAUUGUACAAUACAAAUAGUACGAAAUAACGUAAAAAAGGACUCAUUAAUGAAUUUUUUUAGCCUACGGCCUAGAAGUUGGUUUUUUUUAUAAAAAAAAAAUUAUUUCGUAUAGGUCGAAUUGAUUAUUUAUUUUAUAUGGGCGCCUAUCCAAAAAUGGAAUAUGAAUCAUUCACUAUUGCUCCGGUUUCUGGCUUUUUUUUAAUUAGUAUCCCAUUCCCGCAUUAACUCUUGAUCCCGAAAAGAAAGGAAGAAUUUUUUUACAAAGUUUUCGUGUUGUCGAUUCGUAAUCGUAGUGCUUCUUCCCCCAUGCCCCCUAUUGCUACUAGUGGAGUAAGGUUAAUCUAACUCCAUAGUAUAGGUAUAACCUUUCGCUUAAUACUAAAAAUCUAUAAUUGAAGCAUAUGAGGCUGCAUUAAUC
rnacentral:lncRNA from 1 species